GUUGGGAUUUAAUCACAAAUUAAAGUAAUUGUGUGGUGCCUUGUUUUGACCCAACCAACUUGACUCGAUUGAACUGAGUUGACUCAAGUUGGCUAGGUGGGAAUCGCCCAGCUGGCCAUGAUUCUUGUUGUGAGGGAGGGUGGGAUUGUGCGAUUUCAUUGGAGCCCCACCCCCUUCUUUCCUUUCUAGUGGAUUUCCUCUGCAAGCACCAAUUUCUCCUCACCAUUUUAGGUAGAGGUGUGCACGGUUUGGUUUGGGGUUAAUUUUCAAAUUAAACCAACUUGAAUAGU
rnacentral:lncRNA from 1 species